rnacentral:rRNA from 1 species
UACGAAGGGGGCUAGCGUUGCUCGGAAUUACUGGGCGUAAAGGGCGCGUAGGCGGACAGUUUAGUCAGAGGUGAAAGCCCAGGGCUCAACCUUGAAUUGCCUUUGAUACUGGCUGUCUUGAGUUCGGGAGAGGUGAGUGGAAUGCCGAGUGUAGAGGUGAAAUUCGUAGAUAUUCGGCGGAACACCAGUGGCGAAGGCGACUCACUGGCCCGAUACUGACGCUGAGGCGCGAAAGCGUGGGGAGCAAACAGG